UACGGGGGGGGUAAGCGUUGUUCGGAAUUACUGGGCGUAAAGGGCGCGUAGGCGGCGUGACAAGUCACUUGUGAAAUCUCCGGGCUUAACUCGGAACGGUCAAGUGAUACUGUCGUGCUAGAGUACAGAAGGGGCAACUGGAAUUCUCGGUGUAGCGGUGAAAUGCGUAGAUAUCGAGAGGAACACCUGCGGCGAAGGCGGGUUGCUGGGCUGAUACUGACGCUGAGGCGCGAAAGCCAGGGGAGCGAACGGG
rnacentral:rRNA from 1 species